AAAAAGAUGUCCCAGCGGUCUAAGGCGUUGCACUCAGGUCGCAAUCCAUUUCCGUGGGCGUGGGUUCGAGUCCAACUCUCGGCA